ensembl:ncRNA lncRNA:CR45503 long non-coding RNA:CR45503
UCUCAACACAUGCAAUAACAGCAACAACACAAAGGACACACGAGCAGCAGCAGCAGCGGCAGUGGCAACAAAAAAUUGACUGAGCGUGAAUGCAGAGCGGGGGGUUUUGGCAACCAAUUGGUUACAAAUACAUAAUAAGAAACGGACAGAUAUAAAAUGGCAGAGAAUGGGGUAUGAGUAUCGGGAUGGGCAAAGAUUACCAUUCCGAAAGUGAAACGUUAAAAAGUGUCCAACAAGUUGAAAUCUUAAGGAGAGCGCACUUUAACAGCAACCGAGUUU